AAAACUUUCAACAACGGAUCUCUUGGCUCUGGCAUCGAUGAAGAACGCAGCGAAACGCGAUAAGUAAUGUGAAUUGCAGAAUCCAGUGAAUCAUCGAAUCUUUGAACGCACAUUGCGCCCGCCAGCAUUCUGGCGGGCAUGCCUGUUCGAGCGUCAUUU
rnacentral:rRNA from 1 species